rnacentral:rRNA from 1 species
GAUGAACGCUGGCGGCGUGCCUAAUACAUGCAAGUCGAGCGAACAGACGAGGAGCUUGCUCCUCUGACGUUAGCGGCGGACGGGUGAGUAACACGUGGAUAACCUACCUAUAAGACUGGGAUAACUUCGUGAAACCGGAGCUAAUACCGGAUAAUAUAUUGAACCGCAUGGUUCAAUAGUGAAAGACGGUUUUGCUGUCACUUAUAGAUGGAUCCGCGCCGCAUUAGCUAGUUGGUAAGGUAACGGCUUACCAAGGCAACGAUGCGUAGCCGACCUGAGAGGGUGAUCGGCCACACUGGAACUGAGACACGGUCCAGACUCCUACGGGAGGCAGCAGUAGGGAAUCUUCCGCAAUGGGCGAAAGCUUGACGGAGCAACGCCGCGUGAGUGAUGAAGGUCUUCGGAUCGUAAAACGCUGUUAUUAGGGAAGAACAAAUGUGUAAGUAACUAUGCACGUCUUGACGGUACCUAAUCAGAAAGCCACGGCUAACUACGUG